UGAACGCUGGCGGCGUGCCUAAUACAUGCAAGUCGAGCGAACAGACGAGGAGCUUGCUCCUCUGACGUAGCGGCGGACGGGUGAGUAACACGUGGAUAACCUACCUAUAAGACUGGGAUAACUUCGGGAAACCGGAGCUAAUACCGGAUAAUAUAUUUAACCGCAUGGUUCAAUAGUGAAAGACGGUUUUGCUGUCACUUAUAGAUGGAUCCGCGCCGCAUUAGCUAGUUGGUAAGGUAACGGCUUACCAAGGCAACGAUGCGUAGCCGACCUGAGAGGGUGAUCGGCCACACUGGAACUGAGACACGGUCCAGACUCCUACGGGAGGCAGCAGUAGGGAAUCUUCCGCAAUGGGCGAAAGCUUGACGGAGCAACGCCGCGUGAGUGAUGAAGGUCUUCGGAUCGUAAAACUCUGUUAUUAGGGAAGAACAAAUGUGUAAGUAACUAUGCACGUCUUGACGGUACCUAAUCAGAAAGCCACGGCUAACUACGUG
rnacentral:rRNA from 1 species